rnacentral:rRNA from 1 species
CACCAGGUUGAUUCUGCCUGACGUAGACGCUAUACUCUAAGAUUAACCCAUGCAUGUGUAUUGAAUAUAAAGAAAAGACGAACAGCUCAGUAACUCUUAUUUGAUUUGAUGUAUUAGGAUUCUAACUAUGUUAAAUUAUAGGUAACAAUAAUACAAUAAGAAUAAGAUCUAUCAGUUAGUUGUUAAGGUAAUGGCUUAACAAGACUAUGACGGAUAACGGUAUUACUUUGUAAUAUUCCGGAGAAGGAGCCUGAGAGAUUGCUACUAAGUCUAAGGAUUGCAGCAGGGGCGAAACUUGACCUAUGAUAUUAUAUUGAGGCAGUUAUGAGUAGUAUUUUAUAAUUAUUGUAGUAUUGUAAGUACAUAUUACAAGAUAAAUCGGAGGGCAAAUCGAGUGCCAGCAGCCGCGGUAAUACUUGUUCCGAUAGUGUGUAUGAUGAUUGAUGCAGUUAAAAAGUCUGUAGUUUAUUUAUAAUAAGCAUUGUAAGGUAUACUGUAUGGUUAGGAGAGAGAUGAAAUGUGAUAACCCUAACUGGAUGAACAGAAGCGAAAGCUGUAUACUUAAAUGUAUUAUUAGAACAAGGACGUAAGCUAGAGGAUCGAAGAUGAUUAGAUACCAUUGUAGUUCUAGCAGUAAACUAUGUUGAAUCAUAGAUAUAUUUUGAUAUAUAUUUAUGUAGAGAAAUUAAGAUUAUAUUGACUCUGGGGAUAGUAUGAUCGCAAGAUUGAAAAUUAAAGAAAUUGACGGAAGAAUACCACAAGGAGUGGAUUGUGCGGCUUAAUUUGACUCAACGCGGGGUAAUUUACCAGGUAUAACAUGGUAUAAUAUUUUAUCAUGAUAGUGGUGCAUGGCCGUUUCCAAUGGAUGCUGUGAAGUAAUGAUUAAUUUCAACAAGAUGUGAGACCCUCAUUUAGACAGAUGUAGUGAUACAUAUGAAGGAGAGGAUUAAAACAGGUCCGUUAUGCCCUAAGAUAAUCUGGGUUGCACGCGCAAUACAAUAAUAUUUGAUAUUAUAAGGGAUAAUAUAAUGUAAGAUAUAUUUGAACAUGGAAUUGCUAGUAAAUUUUAUUUAAUAAGUAGAAUUGAAUGAGUCCCUGUUCUUUGUACACACCGCCCGUCG